rnacentral:lncRNA from 1 species
GGUUUAUUUCAGGUGGUAUUACCUAAGCUUAAACUACUUUUUUUAUUAAUUGCAUGUACCAGAUAUUUUUUAUGUUUUUUUGGUGAAUUUGAGUAAGCUAUUUGCAAAAUAAUUGGUUAACACUUUAUGAUUUCAGUUUUAAACCUCUGAUUGUACGGGAGAGAUCUGUUUGCGCCAGAAAUGCGUCCUUUUGCGCCACAUCUUUUUUAUCCAAUGCUACGUUUUUUCGACACAUGUUUCAAAAUUACAUGGUUUCAUUUUGCGCAAAAAAUAAAACAUACCAUUGCGCCAUUUAGAAGAAAAAUGACUUCUCUACUACUUUAUUCGGACUUGGAAACGGCAGUUUACACAGCAAAUGUUUCCUUUUCAGAAACAUAUCUUCUUCUUACUGCUGCUGCAUGGGUACUUCCCAAUUUAAUGUAUGUAGUAGCUUGUAACUUCACUUUAUUGUCCAAAAACACAAACAUUGAAGGAUGAAAUGCAUAAAACAGUUCAUAAUAAUUCCUAAUAAUAAUAAAGCCCAUACGCAUGGUUGGAUCAAAGCACUGUGUCAUUUCAACAUAUGUGGCUGAAACAAAAUCAGCAAAAGCUUCUAUUUUCUUUUCUAUUGGCAUAUCUUUAUUAAAUAUUCAGCAAAGCAAUAAGUUUUAUUCUCUCUCUGUACAUUGACUGUCUAAUACAUUUUAAGUAAUUUCUCUGCAGAUGCUCAUCUUCAUGGUAAAAUAUCUCCAACAUGUGAUACUUUUUAAGCCAAAAAUAAGAAUAAACAUAUAUUAAUCAUUAGUAUUUAUGAUUGAUAUGUGCAGUGGCGGAUCCAGGGGGGUUUUGGGGGUUGGAACCCCCCUUUUUUUUGGCCGAUCAAUGCAUUUGAAUGGGAGCAUAUAGUUGGAACCCCCCCUUUACUCUGGGUUGGGAACCUCCCCUUUUUAAAAUGGCUGGAUCCGCGCCUGAUGUGUACAGAUAAAUGUGCGCAAAUGAGUUCCAAAUAUUGGCGCAAUUGAUACAUUUGGAAAACAAAAUUUGGGGCAAAUGAUACCCCUGAAGAACAGUAAUUGGCGCAAAAGGACUGCUGACGACUGUACAUGUAUUGUGAUAAUUUGAAUUUAAAGAUUUGAGUCUAUAGCUACAUUUCAGUAACAAGUUAUUUGUUGAGGUGCUAAAGUAAUACACAGGAUGAAGGAGAUGUUGAAAGACAUUAAUUUUUCAAUCAGUGCUAAAAAUGUGUUAUGUGUCAUGCUGUAUAUGUUUAUGAAAGGUUGUUUUAAGUGUUUUAUAAUUAAUAGCAUCAUUUUUAAAAGGUAGACAAUUUUAGUAUUAUAAAACAUAUUUAUACCGCUUUAAGAUAUUUUAAAGGAGACA